rnacentral:rRNA from 1 species
GCAGUCUGCAACUCGAGUGCAUGAAGCUGGAAUUGCUAGUAAUCGCGGAUCAGAAUGCCGCGGUGAAUACGUUCCCGGGUCUUGUACACACCGCCCGUCACACCAUGGGAGUCGGGAAUGCCCGAAGCCGGUGGCCCAAUCGAGAGAAGGGAGCCGUCGAAGGCAGGCCGGAUGACUGGGGUGAAGUCGUAACAAGGUAAC